rnacentral:rRNA from 1 species
CCAACCUUCCCUAUAGUAGAGAAUAGCCCGGCGAAAGUCGGAUUAAUGCUCUAUGUUCUUCUUUGAUGGCAUCUGACGAGAAGCAAAGGUUCACCGCUAUAGGAUGGGGAUGCGUCUGAUUAGCUUGUUGGCGGGGUAACGGCCCACCAAGGCAACGAUCAGUAGGGGUUCUGAGAGGAACGGUCCCCCACAUUGGUACUGAGACACGGACCAAACUCCGUACGGGAGGCAGCAGUGAGGAAUAUUGGUCAAGUGGGCGAGAGCCUGAACCAGCCAAGUAAGCGUGCAGGAUGACUCGCCCUAGUGGGUUAGUAAACUGUCUUUUAGUAGGGGAAUAAAGUGAGGUACGUGUUACCUUUUGUAUGUACCCUAUGAAUAAGGACCGGCUAAUUCCGUGCCAGCCGCCGC